GACGAACGCUGGCGGCGUGCUUAACACAUGCAAGUCGAACGAAGUGGCGAACGGGUGAGUAACGCGUAAUCAACCUGCCCUUCAGAGGGGGACAAAAGUUGGAAACGACUGCUAAUACCGCAUACUGAAGGAGGGGAUUGCGUCUGAUUGGCUAGUGGGAGGGGUAACGGCCCACCAAGGCGAUGAUAAGUAUCCGUGCUGGGAGGGUGAACGGCCAAAUUGGGAACGAGACACCGCCCAGACUCCUUCGGGGGGCAGCCGUGGGGAAGCUUCCGCAAUGGACGAAAGUCUAACGGAGGAAAGCCGCGUGAGUGAUGACGGCCUUCGGGUUUUAAAGCUCUGUUAAUCGGGACGCGGUACCGGAAUAGAAAGCCACGGCUAACUACGUGCCAGCAGCCGCGGUAAUUC
rnacentral:rRNA from 1 species